UUUUCCAUUGUCUCCGGCAAGAAAUCAUCUCCACCGGAGACGUGGAAAAUAUCCGUGCGAGUUGCGACGCGAGAAAAGGAGAGGCGAGACGCGGUACGACGCUGGGCGGCGUGCAGCCGGCGGCGACGCAGCUUGGAGGCGACGGACGGCAGCUCUCCCCUCCGGCGGCUCUCCCCUCCUUGACGUUGUAGAUACAUCUGGACUUUAGCAAUAAAUCCUGUUUUGCCGGUGGAACACAUUGCUUUGUCAAAUGAUCUUGACUAUUAACUGAAGGGUACAACCUCUCCUUACUGUCCUUUGAGGCUUCUCUGAUGCUUUAUACUGCUUAUGUUUUUUAGGUUAUGCCCACGUCUUUCCCUGCACUCAAAUUCUGUUGUACGGGUCUAAUUAACCCCCAAAAUUUACAGUAUGUGAAAAAGUAGGUCCAACGGUGGCAUAGUCAUAUAUAAUAGUUUGGUUCAAUUUUUUUAAAAAUAUCAGUGGCACCCAUUUAGAUUAUGGUUGAAAUUUUAAAUGAUUUGGAUUAUUGAUGAAACUAAAUUGCAUAAUCUAGAAACAUACAUAGUUGGCGAUUCCCUUAUCUGAAGCCUAGUCCAUUUGUAUAAAAGACCAA